rnacentral:rRNA from 1 species
AGAUUGAACGCUGGCGGCAUGCCUAACACAUGCAAGUCGAACGGGAGUAGCAAUACUCUAGUGGCGGACGGGUGAGGAAUACGUAGGAAUUUGCCCUUAAGUGGGGGAUAACCCGGGGAACCCGGAUUAAUACCGCAUGACCUCGAAAGAGCAAAGUGGGGGAAUCGCAAGACCUCACGCUUUUGGACGAAGCCUACGUCGGAUUAGCUAGUUGGUAGAGGUAAUGGCUCACCAAGGCGACGAUCCGUAACUGGUCUGAGAGGAUCGAUCAGUCACGACCGGAACUGAGACACGGUCCGACUCCGUACGGGAGCAGCGAAGUGGGGAAUAGUGGACAAGUGGGCGACAAGCCUGA